GAUGUGCCUGGGAGGAAGCUGAAUCAGCCGGACCACACCCUCCCUCCAAAGUCUUUCUAUCCUUCACUUCGAUGGAGCAGCAAAUAUGCACCAAAAAAUCCCCCAAAGAGAAAACCUAUGCAAGUCCUGGGGCAGAUUCAGCAUAAUUGAAACCAACCAGCCAGUGAUACAGUAUUUAUGCCAGAGAAGAACCAUCCGUACAAAAUAUUUUAACAAAUGCAAAUACAUUUUAAAAUAUUACGGUGUUGAGAAGACACAUGUACAGAUCAACCUCAGAUAUCCUUAAGUCAGGAUAUGAACAGCAGUGAAGAAGCACUUUCUAAUUCAAUUGCUUUUAUGAAUCACACCAGUAUGGGAGAGGGUUAUUUAUUUUUUGCCGAGAAAGAAAGGAAAGGGAAGGAAAGGAAAAGAAAGGAAGGGAAAGGAAAGGAAACUCCAUGCUUUCAGAGACGAAUUCUGGAGACCAACCAAGUCUCAAAAACAAACAACAAUAACGUGACACAACCACCAUCACCACCACAAACUUACUGCUUCUUUCUCUGUGACUGUCCAUCUUCUCGAGCCGGCUGCCUGUGAUCUGACUAGGGCAGGACAGACGGAGGCCUCUGGGAUCCAAAUCUUCAAGCAAGUUCACCACAUUUUUUCUUUCAAAGCGAGGUUGUCUUGGAUGGGGAUUAACCCCGGGGGCUGGGAGACCUAAAGCACGCAGGAAGGGUGACGGGAACUAUGCAGAGGUUGUCUCAAGCCCAGUUUGUGGCUUCUGGGGGAAAAGGAAGGGGAAAGGACCCCAUUAAUCUGCCAACAGGUCCUACUGCCGAAAUCACUGCUGUAGCAUGGCCUCCAGGACACGUGUUUAUGCUGCGAUUGGAGAUCAGUGGUGCGAUGGGUAUCUGACCGCCCAGUUUAUCUCGGGGUGUCUCCCAGUAGCUCACCUGAAAAGAACAGAAGCCAGUAGAGAGCAGGUGUGGAACAAGAUGCUGAGAAGCCAGAAAUGGUUCAUGACCAUAUGACCUAAAUGACGCAAGGAUUUCAUAACAUGCAUUCUAAAGAAAGAUUAGACACUGCUUUAUCUCGCCUAAGGGAAGAAUAUGUUUCAGAGGACUUGUCCUGGCUCCCCACAUAACCCAACAGAAGGCUGGAGAUUAUCUGAUGAACUAUGUGGUUGAUGAAACUCUCUGGAAGGGUACUUCAUAAUGUGAAUCAUCUUCUCUGAAGUAUAAUCUGAUUUGGCCAACAUGCUACCUGGGGCUCUAGAGAGAUCAGCACAUCACUGUUCAAGGACCAAGUCCUGCUUUUCCUGCUCCACACAUUUCUUCCGGAGGGAGGACAUGAAGGCUCAAUGAUUGACACUCAAGGAGCUGAUGAUCUUCCCUGCCUCACAUCUGAACUACCAUCAGGAAGUCCUUCAUUUACACCCUGUGACAAAGAUAACAGCACAGCCAUUGGUUGUGCACUCUUCUUCUCCACACCUCUGGACAACCUGUCGGGAUGCAACAACUCUUGAUGUAAUGAAACUCACAAAUGGCUCAGUCAUCUUUCCAAUUUAUUCACCAAUGACCACAUGAUAUGCAAUGUCACCUUAGCUGACAUUGCUGAGUUCACAGCAAGAGCCCUUCAGGCUGAGCAAAAAUCAUUAGACUCUCUAGCCAAAGCAGUGUCUGAUAAUCGCAUUGCUGUAGACUUCCUCCCAGCCCAAGAAGAAGGCAUAUGUGCUAUUGCUAACACCUCCUGCUAUACAUGGCUUAAUACUGCAGGGGGUGGGCAGUGGUGGAGCCAGAGGUGACUAAAAUCUGAUGGCAAACCUACUGGC